AGUGUUAUUACAAAGCGGAAAGGAAGAAAAUAAAAUACCGUUAGAAGUGUUACUACCGUUACUACCCGUCGUCCCGCAGCUACUUUUAGUGUUUGUUGCUGGUGUAGUUAAGCAGGUGGGCUACGGGGCUGCGAGGGAGCUCCCUGGGCGCUCGUCUGAGUCAUGUCGAGCAUGGAAAAACAUUUGUUCAACCUGAAGUUUGCCGCCAAAGAGCUGCAGCGGAACUCAAAGAAAUGUGAUAAAGAGGAGAAGGCAGAGAAGACAAAAGUGAAGAAGGCCAUUCAGAAGGGAAACAUGGAAGUGGCCCGCAUUCAUGCGGAGAAUGCCAUCCGGCAGAAGAAUCAGUCUAUCAACUUCCUGAGGAUGAGCGCACGGGUGGAUGCUGUAGCUGCCAGGGUGCAGACAGCAGUCACCACAAAUAAGGUUACAAAGUCGAUGGCAGGAGUGGUAAAGAGCAUGGACGCAACUCUGAAGAGCAUGAAUCUGGAGAAGAUCUCAGCGCUCAUGGACAAGUUUGAACAUCAGUUUGAGACACUGGAUGUUCAGACAGCACAGAUGGAGGACACUAUGAGUAGCACAACCACUCUUACUACACCAGAGAAUGAGGUAGAGAACCUGAUGCGGCAGAUGGCAGAUGAAGCUGGGUUGGACCUGAACAUGGAGCUUCCCCAGGGCCAGACCGGAACAGUGACCAGUAGUGUGGCAUCCACAGAGCAGGACGAGCUGUCACAGCGGCUGGCCAAGCUCCGAGACCAGGUCUAGCAGAGCGGGUGCAAGCAAGCAGUUUGUCCGAGACAGAGUUCUGGAUGCUCUUUCAUGUACGCUUACUGCCCUAGACAGGGACCCUCAUUCAAGAUUACUAUCUCUUUUUCUCCUCUCUCUCUUUUCUUUGUUGUCAUAACCUCUAUCUUGGAGCAGAAGUACUGUUUUGAGAUAAGACUCUAGUGGACCGAAUGGCCCGGAUCCAUUUUCUGUUGAAUUUGAAGGCUGUAAUUUCAAACUGCUAAAAGGGCCGAGAUAUUCUAUAGGUAUAUACAUAAAAGGUACUAUAUAUUUUGUGUAUGUACAUGGGGUGUUUGUAUAUAUUUGUACAAUAUGAUACAUUAACAUAACGGAAAACCAAAUAAGCAUUAUAUACACAUACAUAUUUGUACUUACCUCUUGUUUUCCCUGUUUCUAAUAUUAUUUAGCAAACUGACUGAGUUCUGUGUAAUGACGGUAGUAUAUUUAUAUGUAGUUAUCAUAUGGAUGACAAAUGUUUUAAGGGCUUGCAGUAAAUUUGAGUAAAAGAACAGGAGUAAGAUGGGCUGGUGGUUUCACCCUUGCACUGAUGGUCAUCGCACCAUGACUGUGUAUCAGACAGACAAUCCGAACAAGACUACUUCCUUUUUGACUGUUUCGCUUCCUGAUACUUGCUGCAGUAAAAAGAUCCUGCUGCACUGGACACACCAUGUCAACCCAUCCCUUUCAAGACAUCGAACACUUGGAACUAUAAGAUAUUGUCCCAUCAUGAAAUGUAACCAAUGUUACCAUUCUGGCAAGCAGAAGUCACCAGACCAUGUACACACACACAGACAAUUGUACACCAGGCAGGUCCUGUUAACUGCCCAUCCUCCCCUGCUUCUCCUUGGCUGAGCUCUAAAUGGUCUGCUUUGAUACCAGCCUGUGCACCUUUUCCCCAACAGGAAACAGAUGAGGAGGUCAAAUGUCUCACUUGUGACGGAAGCAGCUCUCAGUCACUCGCAUGCCAAGCCGUCAUUACCGUGCCAAUGAAGGGGAGGCUGAAUCGACCUUCAGCUGCAACCAAUUUCCGGUGCAGCCUGCAGUCCGCGUGCCAACCCCCACCCGGCAGCUGCCCCAAACUCAGAGCUGCAUGACCUCUGCCUCUCGGGGAAGCUGCGUCCCGCCCAAUUAUAAUCAAGGGCUGAUGGGCAGCCCAGCUGGGCAGAAGCUGUCUUUACACUCAUUGUGCACCACAUUUUCACUUCAUGUUACUCUAGGUAUAAUUUUUUUUAGUAUCAAAGAGGUAAACACUUCUUCAUAAGGGGCAGAGAGGAUGACCCUUUCCUCUCGACAGUUCCAGUAAAGAACUCCAUGUGAUCAUUUCCCAAAGCAGGUGAUAUUCUUCCUAAACUUUGUGCUUUCCUGGCAAUGCUUAGUCAUUUCACGGUUAUUCUGCAACAGUUCUGCAAAAUAGGUCCUUCUAGAAAUGGUUUAGAUCAGGUGUUGCACUCACUUGCUGUCACAGUUAAUGUCUUGUAAUUUUAAGAUCCACAUACUAUAUGGUUACACAUUUUGUUCACUACUGUUUGUUGGAUAUGUCUGAAUUUGUCCUAACUGGAUUACUCCCUAUCCUUAAAAGCUUGUCCAAGUCCAUGUCAUAGUGGUCUGGGGGCUACCCUCCCAGAGACAAGGCCAAGUAAGGUACACCCUUGACAAGA